UACAUCCGUGAGGCUGCAAAGGAAGACGGGGAAAUAAAACACUAGUUUUGACAUAUCGUGGCACCCCGUGUAUUUAUUAGAGUGUAACAAGAACUUUGUAUUUUGGGGAGCAAAAUCCUGGACCUUUGAUGAAGAAUGACACAAAUUAUGAAUUAUUUCUGGGGCUUGAGUUAUGGAAUUUCACACCAGUAAAAUGCAAAGAAAUGUUGAAUGAAUAUCCCUGGAUGUGUCAUCURAUAAGAACAACUAAUGACAUGGAAAUUUUCUGCGAGGUCUCCCAGCAGCACCGACUGCUCUCCUGUGAAUUAAGAGAGUUCUGCUGUGGAGCAUCCCUGCUGGCACUGCUUGCUGCUGAAUCCU